UUUACUAAAACCAAAGGGAGAGGUGUUUUGUUGUUACCAAAAUUAUUGACUAUAAAUGUCUAGUAAAA
rnacentral:tRNA from 1 species